rnacentral:rRNA from 1 species
GGGGGCUAGCGUUGCUCGGAAUCACUGGGCGUAAAGCGCACGUAGGCGGCUUUUUAAGUCAGGGGUGAAGUCCUGGAGCUCAACUCCAGAACUGCCUUUGAUACUGAGAAGCUUGAGUCCGGGAGAGGUGAGUGGAACUGCGAGUGUAGAGGUGAAAUUCGUAGAUAUUCGCAAGAACACCAGUGGCGAAGGCGGCUCACUGGCCCGGUACUGACGCUGAGGUGCGAAAGCGUGGGGAGCAAACAGG